rnacentral:snRNA from 1 species
AGCGCUACUCUCAGCCUUUUGGCUAAGAUCAAGUGUAGUAUCUGUUUUUUUCAGUUACUCCUUGGGCUGUGCAGUUCCUGGCAGCGAGCGCUGCCUCAGGUCUCGGAUUGAUGUAGCCGCCACUUUUUUUUGAGCCUCCUCAUGAUUUAUUCAUGGAGGAUAGAUGCA